GGUGCAAAGCUGCAAGUGUCAUUCCUGUGGUUAAGUGAGAGGAACGUGUCUUCUGAGCUCCAUGAAAUGGGCAAAGGUGCUUUGUCCUGGACCAAAAUGAAAUGCAGUCCAUAUCUGUUCUCCCACCUCCUGAACCUCUGGGACAACAAACUCAUUCCAGGGGAAGAAGGCCAAGCAGCAGCCCUGUGGGGAUCAGGAUCCCAACACAGCUUCUGAAUGAUAUCACGAAAAGAAAAUAAAGGUUGCUGACUUUGCUUCA
rnacentral:lncRNA from 1 species